UGAGCCUGGCAGGAGGAGAAGGUGGGGGGUAGCCACUGGCAGCCAGCAAGGCCCAGCGGGUCCUCUGAAUAUCUGAAAGCAUGCAACAGAUGUUCGCCCAGUUCACUAAAGGUACUGAAUACACGGUGGAUGGAUGGAUGGAUGGAAGACAGGUGAGAAAAGGCAACACCCUUUGAGGGCUGAUGAUGGCCCAUACUGCUCUCCGGUCUGUUUCAAUAACAAUAAAUAUAAUAACGAUCA